rnacentral:rRNA from 1 species
UACGUAGGUGGCAAGCGUUGUCCGGAUUUACUGGGCGUAAAGAGCGCGCAGGCGGUCGUUCAAGUCGGGUGUGAAAGCCCCCGGCUCAACUGGGGAGGGUCCUGCGAUACUGAUCGACUCGAAGGCAGGAGAGGGUAGUGGAAUUCCCGGUGUAGUGGUGAAAUGCGUAGAUAUCGGGAGGAACACCAGUGGCGAAGGCAGCUUGCUGGGACGGUACUGACGCUGAGGCGCGAAAGCGUGGGGAGCAAACAGG